AUGUCUCGGCUAUCCAGCAUGAGUUUAAUUCCGAACUUCACAGUUGCCAAAGGUUCUAAGUGCCAUAGUUGUGUGCAAUCUAAGCAACCUCGAAAGCCUCAUAAGGCUGCCGAGGAGAGAAACUCGGCACCUCUAGAACUCAUACAUUCUGAUCUUUGUGAGAUGAAUGGUGUGUUGACAAAAGGUGGAAAGAGAUAUUUCAUGACUUUGAUUGAUGAUGCGACUAGAUUUUGCUAUGUUUAUUUGUUGCAAACUAAAGAUGAAGCAUUAGACUACUUUAAAAUCUAUAAAGCUGAAGUUAAAAAUCAACUAGAGAGAAAGAUCAAGCGUCUUAGGUCCGAUCGUGGUGGAGAGUAUUUUCCAAAAGUUUUUGAUGAAUUUUGUGAGGAACAUGGUAUUAUUCAUGAGAGGACGCCUCCCUAUUCACCUCAAUCAAAUGGAGUGGCCGAGAGGAAAAACCGCACAUUGACUGACUUGGUGAAUGCCAUGUUAGACACUGCUGGUUUAUCUAAGGCAUGGUGGGGGGAGGCUCUAUUGACUUCAUGUCAUGUCCUGAAUAGAGUUCCGAACAAUAAUAAAGAGAAAACCCCUUAUGAGGAGUGGGUUGGGAGAAAACCAUCACUUUCUUAUUUGCGCACUUGGGGAUGUUUGGCAAAGGUCAAUAUUCCUAUUCCUAAGAAACGCAAACUUGGACCAAAGACAGUGGAUUGUGUCUUUCUAGGGUAUGCUCAACGGAGCAUUGCUUAUAGGUUUUUAUUGGUAAAAUCUGAAGUACCUGAUAUGCAUGUUGAUACUAUAAUGGAAUCUCGUGAUGCAACAUUUUUUGAGAACAUAUUUCCUAUGAAAGAUAUGCAUAGCAUUGCUAGAUUUUCUUCUGAGAUAAUUCCUGAAUCUAGUACAACUGAUGAAUAUUUCGAACAAUCACAUGAGGAAGUCCUUGAGAAGGAUAACAAUGAAGUUCCUAGAAGGAACAAGAGACAAAGGAUUGCAAAAUCCUUUGGUGAUGAUUUCAUUGUAUACCUUGUGGACGACACACCCAAGACGAUUGCAGAAGCAUAUGCAUCUCCGGAUGUAGAUGAUUGGAAAGAAGCUGUUCAUAAUGAGAUGGACUCAAUUCUUUCUAAUGGAACUUGGGAACUAACUGAUAGACCAUAUGGUUGUAAACCUGUGGGCUGUAAGUGGGUGUUCAAAAAGAAGCUAAAGCCUGAUGGUACUAUUGAUAAGUACAAGGCGCGGCUAGUGGCCAAGGGCUACACUCAGAAAGAAGGCGAAGAUUACUUUGACACCUAUUCACCCGUUGCCAGAAUGACCACCAUUCGAGUGUUACUUUCCUUGGCUGCCUCUUAUGGUCUUAUCAUUCAUCAAAUGGAUGUAAAGACAGCUUUUCUCAAUGGAGAGUUGGAAGAGGAGAUCUAUAUGGAUCAGCCUGACGGGUUUGUGGUAAAGGGUGAAGAGAGAAAGGUGUGCAAGUUGUUAAAAUCUUUGUAUGGUCUGAAACAGGCACCUAAGCAAUGGCAUGAGAAGUUUGAAAGAACUCUGACUUCUGCAGGAUUUGUCAUUAACGAGGCUGAUAGGUGUGUUUACUAUCGCCAUGGUGGGGGCAAUAGUGUCAUAUUAUGUUUGUAUGUGGACGACAUACUGAUCUUUGGUACAAACAUUAAUGCAAUUAAUGAGGUCAAGUCUUUUCUAUCAAAAAGUUUUGACAUGAAAGAUCUGGGAGAAGCCGAUGUAAUUCUAAACAUCAAACUUAUUAAGGAUGAGAGUGGGAUUACAUUAACGCAAUCUCACUAUGUUGAGAAGGUCUUGAACCGAUUCGGUUUUAUGGAUAGCAAGCCUUCUCCAACACCUUAUGAUCCCAGCGUGACACUCAGAAAGAACAAAAAAGAAACGAGAGAUCAAUUAAGAUACUCUCAAAUUGUCGGUUCACUCAUGUACUUAGCUAGCGCUACAAGACCAGAUAUCUCUUUUGCUGUGAUCAAACUGAGUAGGUUCAUGUCCAACCCGGGUGAUGAUCAUUGGCAUGCACUAGAAAGGGUCUUGCGCUAUCUGAGAGGUACUAUGAGUUACGGAAUUACUUAUUCAGGGCAUCCUGCUGUGCUAGAAGGAUAUAGUGAUUCAAAUUGGAUCUCCGAUGUUGAUGUACUUUACGCAACAAGUGGGUAUGUAUUUACUCAUGGUGGUGGCGCAGUGUCAUGGAGGUCUUGCAAGCAAACCAUAUUGACGAGGUCAACUAUGGAAGCAGAAUUAACUACUUUGGACACAGCUACUGUUGAGGCAGAAUGGCUGCGUGAGCUCUUGAUGGACUUGCCGGUUGUUGAAAAACCUGUACCGGCUAUUCUUAUGAAUUGUGAUAACCAAACAGUUAUCGCUAAAGUGAACAAUUCUAAAGAUAAUGCAAAGUCAUCAAGACACGUGAAAAGACGUUUGAAGUCUGUCAGGAAGUUGAGAAACUCUGGAGUAAUAACUGUUACGUAUAUACAAACAGACAAAAACCUGGCAGAUCCCUUUACAAAGGGACUAUCACGAAAUGUGAUAGAUAUUGCAUCGAGGGAGAUGGGUAUGAGACCCAUA
rnacentral:rRNA from 1 species